AGUGGGGAAUCUAGGGCAAUGGGCGGAAGCCUGACCCAGCGACGCCGCGUGGGGGAGGAAGGCCUUCGGGUUGUAAACCCCAGUAGUGUGGGAAGAAGUGGUGACGGUACCACACGAAAGCCCCGGCUAACUACGUGCCAGCAGCCGCGGUAAGACGUAGGGGGCGAGCGUUGUCCGGAAUUACUGGGCGUAAAGGGCGCGUAGGCGGUCAAUCAAGUCAGGUGUAAAAGACCCGGGCUCAACCCGGGGGUAGCACCUGAAACUGGUUGGCUAGAGGGCAGGAGAGGGGAGUGGAAUUCCCGGUGUAGCGGUGAAAUGCGUAGAUAUCGGGAGGAAUACCAGUGGCGAAGGCGACUCUCUGGACUGGCCCUGACGCUGAGGCGCGAAAGCGUGGGGAGCGAACAGGAUUAGAUACCCUGGUAGUCCACGCUGUAAACGAUGGGUACUAGGUGUGGGGCGCGGAAGCGUUCCGUGCCGUAGCGAACGCAAUAAGUACCCCGCCUGGGGAGUACGGCCGCAAGGUUG
rnacentral:rRNA from 1 species